rnacentral:rRNA from 1 species
GAUGAACGCUGGCGGCGUGCCUAAUACAUGCAAGUCGAGCGAACAGACGAGGAGCUUGCUCCUCUGACGUUAGCGGCGGACGGGUGAGUAACACGUGGAUAACCUACCUAUAAGACUGGGAUAACUUCGGGAAACCGGAGCUAAUACCGGAUAAUAUAUUGAACCGCAUGGUUCAAUAGUGAAAGACGGUUUUGCUGUCACUUAUAGAUGGAUCCGCGCCGCAUUAGCUAGUUGGUAAGGUAACGGCUUACCAAGGCAACGAUGCGUAGCCGACCUGAGAGGGUGAUCGGCCACCCUGGAACUGAGACACGGUCCAGACUCCUACGGGAGGCAGCAGUAGGGAAUCUUCCGCAAUGGGCGAAAGCCUGACGGAGCAACGCCGCGUGAGUGCUGAAGGUCUUCGGCUCGUAAAACUCUGUUAUUAGGGAAGAACAAAUGUGUAAGUAACUAUGCACGUCUUGACGGUACCUAAUCAGAAAGCCACGGCUAACUACGUG